GUUCUCAAGCCUUAAUUAGGGUUUGGGGAAAGGGUUCAGGGAGAUACUGAAGAUCCAGGUCCCGCCCACCAGACCUGCCAGAGCCUCCUCAGUGCGCGUGCACACGCGCGGGCGCGCGCGCACACACACACACACACACACACACACACACACACACACACACACACACACAUACACACACCCGAGAAGAAGAGUGUGGGAAGGCACUGACCACCUCCCUGAGAGAAAGGAAAUAGUCCCCCGCCCAGAAACAUAAUUCUCAAGGCCCCCUUUACUAAGUCUCCUGGAGUCACCGGGGCCGCGAUGCUCCCCGACGGCCGGCAGGGGUCGCUGAGCCGGCGCGCAGGCCGCUCUCCAUUCAUAAAUCCGGCCUCCCUCCGGCCGCUCCCUCCUCCCUCCCUCAGACCCCUCCUUCCCCUAGCUGGGUAGGGACGACCCUAGACUGGUGUAGGAGGGUGGACGGUCCCCGGAGAGCCCCUGGAAGGGGGCAGAGACGUGGCCUAUUGAUUUCCCAGAUGGUCCUCCCUGCUCCUUAGGGGGUCUGGGAGGAUUCCCAGAAGGGCCAGCCAGAGCGCUAAAGGGUUACAAGGGAGACGCCCGGAGCACUUGUUCUGUGAGCCCACUUCUGUCUUGAAGACUUUCUUCUCUGGAUCUCCAGACUUUCUGCUCUAAUUUUGAUGGAAACUCUGAGGACCUCUGGUAUUCCACUGAUUCCCACUGAUCCCAGUGCUUUGGAAACGUGGUGUCAAGAUCACCUGGAACUGGAGUUACAAGCAGUUAUGAGUGGCCACGUGAGUGAUGGGAAUGGAACCAGG